rnacentral:lncRNA from 1 species
AGUGUGGGUGAAAUGGGCAAGUCAGGGCUGAUCUCACCUCCUGGGUGUGCCCGGCUCUGCAUGCUCAUGUGUUGGGAUGGGCUGUGGGGAUUUGCCACAGUCCCUCACUGGAACCCUGGUGAGCAGCCUCAUUCUGCUGGGGGGCAUGGAGCAGGUGACAUGAAAGAGGAUGGUCACCCUCACCUGCAUGCCCCUCGGGGAUGCUGCACCACCUGCAGUGGGAGCCUGAGCUGCCCCUGUGCUCUGCCGGCUGCCCUGCAUGGACGCUGGGAUGCAGAAUGGGGCUGAGGCAUCACUGGAGGGAUGCCUGAUGGCUGAGGAGCUGGAGGAGAAGCAGCGCCCGGUGGCGCAGUGGACGGUGGCCGAGGCUGGCGCCUGGCUGGCGGCACGCAGCGGGGCCGGGGAGCUGGUGGAGCUGGCACAUGAGCACGAUGUCUCGGGCCGGGUCCUGCUGCGGCUGACGGAGGGGACCCUGCGGCGCAUGGGGGUGACCCCGCGGAGCCGGCGCCGGGACCUGCUGCGGGAGCUGCUGCAACUGCGGCUACAGCAGGAACUCGAGGAGCUGCUGAGCACCGUUGGCAAGUGAAGACAGUGUCACUGCGGAUGUCCUGGAGACUGCAGGAGGACAGAUGGUGCCAUGGGAGGACAAAGCAGUACCUAGGACUGAGCACUUGAUGCAGGAGCAGUGCUGGAGGAAGCCUUGAGGUGACUUUGUCUCCCCUGGAGAAGCCCAAAGCUGGCUGGAAGAGGUGGCCACAGGGCCCCAGGUGGCACAAGUUGAAGGGUGGCUGCUGGCUCCCAGGGCGUCCUCUUGGCUCUGGCACGAUGGGGCACUCUACCAGCCCUCCCCCCGUCUCCGAUCCUGCUGCAACCAUGAAGCAGCCUGGCCUCAGGAGUGAUCCUCCAGUCUGUCUGUGGCGUAGGGCAUAGGGGGACAAGUUCCCAAGUUGCUGUGUAGAGGAACCUGUCUCCUUGGUGCCCUGGGGCUGGCAGGAGCAGGGCAGCAGAGCCCAGAACAGAACUGGUCUUAAUAAACAUUGUCCUGGUAAGUCCAGAGGGGUCCCCACUCUGAGGACCUUGAAAAGGGCUGAAAGCCCAAACCCAGCCACCACAGCCCAGGACAGGGAGUCUGCAGCCUCCUCUGCCCUGGUAUUUUUCUGGCCCUAAACUUCUGCACCGGUGCAAAGGGCCGGCCGUGAGCUGCAGGGCAGGAUCCAUCCCCAGGACCCGAUUCUCCAGAGAAGAAGAGUGGGGCAAGCAGUCCUUCCUCCCACACUACCCUGCUGUGGUCUCCCGAGUCUCAUGUGGUCCAAGGGUCUGGCUGCAUCCUGUUGACCCCUGUGGUCGGGCACCCUGAAUCCUGGUACUGGCACUAUCUGUGCCUGCUUGCUGUGCUGGAAAAUGUGGUGGGAGCUGAGCAGGCAGCCCUGUUGAGCCGAGGGACAGGAAACAGUUUGUUUUCUGCUUAUUUUAGCGCAGAUCAUGGGCAGAUUGAGAGUUUACUUUUUUUUUCACCUAGCUUGCGAAACAGGCAUUGUUUCCCAGAAAUAAAAUCCCUUCCUGGAAAGGGCUCAGACAGCCCACAGAACUGAAUUGGCUCCUCAGGCUCAUGUGUUUUCACACAAAAAGCCUCACUUCUCUUUUCCUAGGUGAAGACUUUAUCCUCUAAACAUCUCUUGAAGAUGGAGGAUGCCAAGAGGUGCUGCUCUGGCAAGUCUUCCUGCAGGAACCAGC